rnacentral:rRNA from 1 species
CAGUCGCCACGGUAAUACGAAGGGUGCAAGCGUUAAUCGGAAUUACUGGGCGUAAAGCGUGCGUAGGCGGUGAGUUAAGUCUGCUGUGAAAUCCCCGGGCUCAACCUGGGAAUGGCAGUGGAUACUGGCUCGCUAGAGUGUGUCAGAGGAUGGUGGAAUUCCCGGUGUAGCGGUGAAAUGCGUAGAGAUCUGGAGGAAUACCGAUGGCGAAGGCAGCCAUCUGGCCUAAUACUGACGCUGAGGUACGAAAGCAUGGGGAGCAAACAGGAUUAGAUACCCCAGUAGUCCCUGUCUCUUAUAC